GAAAUAUACAGGCCAAAGAAGUUGAAGAUCCCUACAAAAUUCAUAUUCAUUAUAUUUGUAUCUCACAGCACAAUCUCUUCACUAUUGCUAUUACACACUAUGUUUUAAAAUCUUUAUCAUAUGUGUAUAAAUUGUGCAGAAAAUUACGGAGUGCACAAACUUCAAAAUAUUUUAAACACAAGCUAAAUUACCUUGUUUAAAAUGUAUCUUAAACUGUUUUUAAAAAAUUGUGUCAUAUAUGUAUUCACCCCUUAAGGACGCAGCUUCAAAAACUGGACUUACCCUCAAGGAAACAAGCCUUUUUUGCGGUUUGUGUUCAAACACAAUUUGCAUCUCUGUCAUUUAUUGCACCAACACAUAUUAUAUGCUGUUUUUAGAGGGCAAAAAGGGCUUUAAUUUGAUGUCACAUAUACAUAGAUAAAUUCUCAUUAAUUAUAAAACAAAUGGGAAAAAGACACAUUGUUUUUUUUUCCAGUUUUGGCAAUAAUAGCGUCUGCAUAAUAUGUCCAGCUUAGAAAAAGUAAUUCAUAAUAAAUUCAUUUAUGUCAUGAUUUAUAGAGUACAUAAUAUGUAUAGGAUUUCAGUUUAUUUUGAAAGUUACAGGUCACAAUAAAAGGACUAAAAUAAACAAUUUUAGAAUUUGGUAUAUUUGUCUUGUAGGUUUAGUAGCCAUCACAGAAAACAAAAUUGCCACACAAAAGUAUAUAUUUAUAUAAAGUAGACAUCACCGGCUAUUUACCUAAGGUUAGUUUGACACUUUUUACGUAGCCAUUUCACCGCCAAUCUGUGCUAAAUAUUCGAGUAAAAUUGUUGGGUUUUUUUUCCCUCUAUUAUGGCAUAUAUACUUAUACCAAGGUUUUUGUUGUAUUUCGUAAAGCAGGUGUGUGCUAUUUCUGCACAGAACCCCAUAUUGUUUUUAGCUACGUCUGCUGAUUAUAACGAUACCUCCAUUGUAUGCCAUUUGGCACUAUUAUGUGAAGCAACAAUGCCAUAUAAGAGAGAAGGCUAUUUCAGUUUCUAUAGUUAGAAUUUUCAUAGAUGGAUAUGAUGGGCCUAUGUAGUAGUUUUGCUGGUGUUCUGUCUAAGUGACAGGACUUUCGGGAAUACUGACAGGAAGCAUCGCGAGAUCACGGAUCAAAGGUGAGAAUUGUGGGAAAAUUGCUCUGACCACUGGAAAUGAAGCACACUUUGCUCCUCCACUGGUCAUAGCUGUUUAGUUGUAGGAAACCUCCAUAAGACAAAGGAGUCCCUACUUUGUCUUUUAUGUUUUAAAGAAAACUAGAGCAGACAGGAUGAAAUGAAGAACAGAUCCUGACAGAGGGAGAAAUGAGGAAUCGAUUUAAGAAUGGUAAGUUCGGCAUGACAGUGCCGCUUUAAUGUAUUCUUUUACUUUUUUUAACUAUACAUUUUAAACCUUAUUUGAAAACUUUUUUUUAUUUAUUGCUUUUUUUUUUACUUUUAAACUUUCUUAAAACUUUUUACAUUUUUAAAAUUUGUAUAAACUUUCUUUUACUGUUAACCCCUAACUAGCAGUAAGCAGCACUUACAGUAAAUUCCCCAAUUUCCCAUAACUCCCACGUACCCCAGCUAGCAAAAUAUUUAAUUUAAUGAAAUAAAUUGAACCCAAGAGGGUUAAAAAAUAAGUUAAUCUUCAGGGGUAAAAAAAAAAAAAAAAAUCAGAUCACAGUAAAAUACUGUGAUCUGUAUUUUACUCACUGUAGGCAGUGAUCGACUGGCAGGUAAGGGGUUAAUUUUUUAUUAGGACUGGGUAAAGGGGGGUGGGAUUUUUUUUUAUUUUAAUAAAAAACUUUUUUUACGUUAACCCUUAGCUAGCCUGACACCAAAUUCCCCACUAACUUUCACCCACCCCAGCUAGCUAAAUUUAUAGUUUUAAAAUAUUUUCAUUAAUGAAAUAAAUUUAACCCCAAUUGGCAGGAAGGGGGUUAAUUUUUAUUUAAAAUCGGUGGGGGUGGGAUUUUAAAGUAACUUUUUUUAUUUUUUAUUUUUUACACACAGGGAGAAGAUCACUGCUGAUCAGUCUCCCUGCACUUCACACUGAACGCGGAAGCACAGAGAGGCGGAUCAGAAGUCCCUGCAGCACAGUUGCUCACUCUGACAGCCUGUUAGAGUGAUCACAGCUGCAGGGACAAAGCGAUCGGGAGCUUCUGGUCUGCCUGGAAUACCAAAACAACUCAAUGAAGCAGUUUUAGUGUAUAGAUCAUGCCUCUGAAAUAUACCUGCUUAAUUACCUGCCAUUUAGGAGUUAACCCUUAAGGAUGGCGGGUGUUCUAUGCCAUCCUUAAGGGGCUGGCUCUAAACGCCGGUGGGGGGCAUAGAACGUUCUUGCCGCCCAAGUGGCCGCUGCCAUUCACCCACUGCAGAUUGCAGCAUGUGAUCGCAGUGACAGCCAAUGAAUUGUAACAUUGGCUGACACAUUCCCUCAACCACUCUCCUUAACCUCACUUUGAUCUGAAGGAAAGAGGCGUAGAGAUCAGAGACAGUUACAGUUUGCAAAACUGUAAAACUUGUUAAAAAUUUAAUUUAACUUUCAGUUUAAUCGAGCUGAUCAGCCAAUUAGGGCUUUUAGUACUUUUGUACUUGUGUGUAUAUAUAUAUAUAUAUAUAAAAAGAUUUUGGGCCCUUUUUUGACCCUUUGUGUCAGUUGCAGCAACCCAAAUCUCCCUUAACUCGCUGCUGCUGUGAUCACUGUACUGUACAGUAUAUCUGCUGCACUGUAUCAGUGAUCACUGUGAUCAGAGGACACUCUGAUCAGGCUGACCUUUUUUUUGUGUUAUUUUUAAUAAAAAGUAAAUAACCCUUUCAGAACUGAUCGCAGCUGACUAAACUGUGAUCAGUACAUUUAUUUUAUUUGUUGUGGGUUUUUAAGGGUGAGUAGUGGAUGUUAGGCAGGUAGGAAUUUAGUAAUUACCCCCUUAGUUUUUAUUAGAUAAUUUAUUUGUCCCCCUAGAAUGGCAUGUCACCAUUCUGGCAGGCAGUGAUAGCGACACUCUGCAUUGAGCCCCACCACCUACAAGAAGACACUCAGAAUGCCCAAUGCCAGACGGAGACUGGGUGCCUCCAAACAUGAUGGCCCCAGAAAUAUUGCAGUUCACUGUUACACCUGGUAUCACUGUAACAGUGUACGACUGCAAGCCCAUUAGUUUUUUUGAGCUCUUUAUGUCAGACGAUAUAUUUUGAGCUCAUGGCUCAGCAAAUGAAUUUGUUUGCCAUGCAGUAUCUCUCUGCACAUCUGGGGUCCCAUUUUAGUCGAAGGAAUAUGUGGCGACCCACGGAUGUUGCAGAGAUGAAGCGGUUUGGGGCUUUAACCCUAGUGAUGGGUAUAGUUAAAAAGCAGAGUAUCAGGUCCUACUGGAGCAAGCAAUGCAUCCUGGCUACCCCUUUUUUCACUGAGGUUAUGUAGAGGGAUCGCUACCUGCAACUGCUGCAAUUCCUUCAUUUUAAUGAUAACUCACUGUGUCCCCCUAGAAACGACCCACUGUUUGACAGGCUUUAUAAAAUUCGGCCUUUUAUUCAACUCCUGUCAGAAAAUUAUGCCCCCUGAAAAAAAUAUUUCAAUUGACGAAUCCCUAAUGAAAUUCAAAGGUCGACUACUCUUUAAACAAUAUAUACCAUCUAAGCGGUCUCGAUAUGGUGUUAAAUUUGAUAAAUUAUGCAAAUCCUAUACUGGUUACACAUGGGCGUUUUGCAUUUACCAGGGGAAGAAUAGCCAUCUUGACCCACCACAAGUGGCAAGAUUGUUUGGGAUCUAAUCCUUCCCUUGUUAAAUAAGGGAUACAGGCUACGGGUUGACAACUACUAUACCAGUAGAGCAUUAUUUAAAAAUGUAUAUUACUUUGAAACCCUAGCCUGUGGCACAGUGAGGAAGAAUCGCAGGGGUUUCCUCCAAACCCUGGAAAGAGGCAGAAGCAGUAGAGAUUUCUCUCCAGCUCUCUGCCAGGAUGAGUUGCUUGCCCUUCGCUUCACAGAUAGGAAGGAUGUAUACAUGCUGUCUACAAUGCACAACGAAAGUACAGUGCCAGUGUCUGUGAAAGGUAGCACUGAGCAUCUGAAAAAGCAGAAGUGCAUUGUAGAGCAAGUUUAUGGGGGUAGUAGACUUGGCUGACCAAUGCAAGCCCUACCUGGUGAACCAAAAAACUAGGACCUGGUACAAGAAAAUUGCAAUCUACGUGAGCCAGAUUGCAGUUUUCAAUGUCUUUGUCCUCUGUAAAAAAGAGGUCAUAGGUAAGCCCUGUCCUUUCCUAGAAUUCAUUCUAAGCCCUUUAUCCCAUAUCCCACUUUGGAAUCAGGAGAUCUCCAA